CCUACGGGAGGCAGCAGUGGGGAAUAUUGCACAAUGGGGGAAACCCUGAUGCAGCGACGCCGCGUGAGUGAAGAAGUAUUUCGGUAUGUAAAGCGCUAUCAGCAGGGAAGAAAAUGACGGUACCGGAUUAAGAAGCCCCGGCUAACUACGUGCCAGCAGCCGCGGUAAUACGUAGGGGGCAAGCGUUAUCCGGAUUGACUGGGUGUAAAGGGAGCGGAGACGGCAGCACAAGUCUGGAGUGAAAUGCCGGGGCUUAACCCCGGAACUGCUUUGGAAACUGUGCAGUUAGAGUGCCGGAGAGGUCAGUGGAAUUCCUAGUGUAGCGGUGAAAUGCGUGGAUAUUAGGAGGAACACCAGUGGCGAAGGCGGCUUACUGGACUGUAACUGACGUUGAGGCUCGAAAGCGUGGGGAGCAAACAGGAUUAGAUACCCUUGUAGUC
rnacentral:rRNA from 1 species